UAGGAUGAGGUUCUCCUCCUAUUCCUAACAGGACUGUGGGGGCACAUAUGGGCGUUGUAGGGCCUCUCCCCCCAUCCAGUCUAAAAGUAACCGAGCCUUCGACUUUGCUCAUGUUAGGACGAGGUUCUCUUCCUGUCCCUAACAGGGCUGUGGGGGCACAUAUGGGCGUUGCAGGGCCUCUCCCCCCAUCCGGUCUAAAAGAACCGGGCCUUCGACUUUGCUCAUGUUAGGACGAGGUUCUCCUCCUGUCCCUAACAAGGUUGUGGGGGCACAUAUGGGCAUUGCAGGGCCUCUCUCUCCAUCCGGUCUAAAAGUAACUGGGCCUUCGACUUUGCUCAUGUUAGGGCGAGGUUCUCCUCCUGUCCCUAACAGGGCUGUGGGGGCACAUAUGAGCAUUGCAGGGCCUCUCCCUCCAUCCGAUCUAAGGAGAACCGGGCCUUCGACUUUGCUCAUGUUAGGGCGAGGUUCUCCUCCUAUCCCUAACAUGGCCGUGGGGGCAUAUAAGGGCCAUUGUAUGGGCCUCUCCCCCCAUCCGAUCUUAAAAUAAUCGGACUUUCAACUUUGCCCAUGUUAGGACAAGGUUCUCCUCCUGUUCCUAACAUGACCGUGGGGGCACAUAAGGGCCGUUGUAUGGGCCUCUCCCCCCGUCUGGUCUUAAAAUAACCAGACUUGCAACUUUGCCCAUGUUAGGGCAAGGUUCUCUUCCUAUUCUUAACAUGGCCGUGGGGGCACAUAAGGGCCGUUAUAUGGGCCUCUCCCCCCGUCCGGUCUUGAAAUAACUGGACUUUCAAUUUUGCCCAUGUUAGGACAAGGUUCUCUUCCUGUUCCUAACAUGGAUUUGUUUUUGUUGUCUGAAGGGGUUAUCCCCUGUCGUUACGGGUCCAUGCCAAAAGGGAAA
rnacentral:lncRNA from 1 species